ensembl:lncRNA
CUUAAUACAACCUAAAAAAAGGGAAAACUUACUAUUGCGAAAUUCAAAAUUUUUUCAACGAAAUAGAAGAUUUAGUGAAUGAAAGACAAGACGAUAAAGAUGAUGGUGAUGGUGGUGAUGGUGAUGUUUAUAAUGUAGGAGUAGAAAAACAGCUUAGCAAAAAAGGUGAUGAAUUAAUUGAAAAAAAAAAAAACGACAAUAAAUUGUCAGUACAAUCUAAAAUCCAUUUAUUCCUUGAAGAAAUAAAUUUUAUUAAAGAAGUUCUUGAUACAUAUGAAAAAGAAAAUAAACAUAAUAAAAAUAAUAAUGACAAAUGUAAAAAUAAUGAAAUGACAGAAAAAUCAGAUGACAUUUUAAAGGAUGUAAUUUACUUAGAAUUAGGUCUAAAAGAAUCAGAAAGUACAAGCGAUGUUAACAAAUUACUAUUAAAAAUAAGUGAGAAUUUAUGCAGUAUAAAGAAUAAGGAUUUUAUAAUAGCUACCAAAAAAUCGCUAGAUAUCAGAAUAGAAGAUUUUCGAAGAAAUGAAAUAAGUGAAUCAUACUUUUUAAAAAAAAUAAACGAAAUAUAUACGAACACAUUGAAUGAAUUAGAUAUAGAAAAAAAUGCAGACGAUAAGAAGUCUAACGAAUAUGUAGUAGAUAAAUCGAAAAGUACAUUGUUGGAUGAUUUAUCGCAGAAUAUGUUAAAUGUGCCAUUACCAGUAAAGGACACAGUGGAUACAAAUUAUAAUGAACCACCUGUUUAUUUAAUAUCCAAAAAUAUAAGUACGGAAGGAGAAAGUAAAAGAAGUGAUAAAUACCCAGAGAAAAAAAAAAAAAAAAAAAAUAGGAUGGAGCCAAAACUAGAGUCGUCUAACUUCCUUCAUAAAAAAAAGGUAUACAAUAUUUUUAUCUACUGUAAUAUGUAAAUAAUUUUAACUAGUCUUAGGAUAGUAUAUACGUGGCACAAGUGUUAAUGUAUGUACGUAUGUAUAUACUGACUUUUUUAUUUUUUAUUUUUCCCUUCUUGUAGUUGAAGUUAGUAGAACGAUGGAAAAAAGUUGCCGCAGAAACGAAUUUAGUUGAAGAUUCUGAUUAAAAAUGUCAAAUUUAUAUUAUAAAAUGUGUUUAGAGUAUUACAUCACAAAUUUUUUUAGUAUUAUUUGAUGUUGUAUAUGGGAGUAACCGUUUGUUCAACAUAUUUGCGCAGUUUUUUAUACAUAUACAUGCACGUACAUGUAUACAUAUAAUAUAUAUAUAUAUAGUAAACAAAAUUGCAACAUGAAGUUGUUUAAAUGUUAUAAACUUAUUUAUAUAUAUAUAUAUAUAUAUAUUUAUGCUUAUAUUUAUAACAGAACUUCGUAUUUAUUUUAUUUGAAAUAAUAUGUAUCUCAGUUUACACAAUUUUCUUAAAAAAAAAAAUAUAUAUAUAUAUAAUAUAUAUAUAUAUAUUUUUUUUCUAUUUUAAAGAUAUAACAUUUCGUAUACAUUUUUUUGUAAAUAGUUUAUUGUCACAUUUUUAAUUUUUUUUUUUUUUUUUUUUUUUUGUAUAUAUGUGUAUUUUUUUUUUUUUUUUUUUCAUUCUUUUUUUAUUUUAAGCUAUGAAAAUUUGACAUAAAUACAUGUGCUUAUUACUUAUUAACAUAUAUGUAAUUUAUUUUCUUGUUUUUACAUUAUUUCAUAUACAUAUGUGUUUUUUUAUUUUUUUAUAACAUUAUCAAGCAUAAAACUUUAUUCAAGCACAAGUGUCAACUAUGGAUAUAUGUAAUAUGUUUGGCCUCCAACUGUUUUAUAAAUGAUUUAUUACAUAUUACCCUCAUUAAUUCGUUAAUUAUUAUUAUAAUUAUUAUUAUAA